ACUUAUCUUUCCAGAACCAUGUUCCUGUCUUGGUCCUGGUCAUGAACAAACUAUAGGGCCUCUCUUUAUCUAUAUAGAGACAAGACCCACACUAUAGAGGUGUUCUACUUUGUAGCCUAGAAGAAGCAACACUUGCAUCAAGAGGCCAUGAAAGCCCUGUCUGAGAGGCUCACUGGUUUCUGCUUCAGAUCUCUCUCACUACCCCAUGCUCUACUCACUCACAUUUCUCUGGAAAUGACUAAACAUAGAACAGACAUUUCCUCUUUGAGCCUUCAUUAUGAAGGCUCUAGAGUCAGAUGAAUCUAUUAACUUGUCUGGUGAUAGGAGUGUUGGCUGUGGUCAUCAUGGUGAGGAGAGAAAAGACCUUACUCUCUCCCUUCUUGCCCUGUAUCACCACCAGCUUCAAGCUUGAAGUGGCUGCCUUGUCUCCUCUUAGGCAGACUUAACCGCUACAUGUGGACACUCAACUUCUACCUUCUUAGCUCCCUUGCUGAUGUCACUCUGUAACAUAUGCACAGUGACAUCUUUGGCCUUCCCCAGUUGUGAUACCCUGAUAGCAAGGUCAGGCAGGGAUACUGAGUCCUUGUGCUCAUGGGAUAAGGUCUAACUUCAGAAGCUGUAAGCAAGGUUGAGGGACAAAAGUCCGCUAUUAUGCAAGUCUCGGGUCUUAAAGGCAGAGGGAUCGUUGUGAUGAUUUGUUUCAGUUGUCAUCUUGACACAAUCUAGACUCACCUAGGAGGGAAGUCUCAGUGAGGGAUUGUCUAGAUUAGGCGGGUCUGUGAGGAUGUCUUUAGAAUUAUAUUGAAUAUAUUAAUUGAAGGG
rnacentral:lncRNA from 1 species